GUCCUUGCCUUGGCAGCACAUUUACUAAAAUUGGAGCACAGAGAAAAGAUUAGCAUGGCCCCUGUGCAGAGAAUGACACGCAGCUCUGUGAAGUGCUCCAUAUAUUU
ensembl:snRNA Gm22883 predicted gene, 22883